rnacentral:rRNA from 1 species
GAUGAACGCGGCGGCGUGCCUAACACAUGCAAGUCGAACGGAGAUUACGGACGGAAGUUUUCGGAUGGAAGACUGUAAUUCUUAGUGGCGGACGGGUGAGUAACGCGUGGGCAACCUGCCCUAUACAGGGGGAUAGCAGCUGGAAACGGCUGGUAAGACCGCAUAAGUCGGUUAAAUCGCAUGAUUUGAUCGGGAAAUGAGCAAUCAGGUAUAGGAUGGGCCCGCGUCCGAUUAGCCAGUUGGCAGGGUAAAAGCCUACCAAAGCGACGAUCGGUAGCCGGACUGAGAGGUCGGACGGCCACAUUGGGACUGAGACACGGCCCAAACUCCUACGGGAGGCAGCAGUGGGGGAUAUUGCACAAUGGAGGAAACUCUGAUGCAGCGACGCCGCGUGAGUGAAGAAGUAUUUCGGUAUGUAAAGCUCUAUCAGCAGGGAAAGAUGAUGACGGUACCCUGAC